ACAUGAGUAUCAAGUACUAAAUAUUUAUUAGAACACAUAUUCGCAAAGAAAAGUGCUAAUACAGCAUAUAAAUAUAAUGAGUAAAUUCUUACAUAUUGAGAAAAUUUCUUCUUGGGUAUAAUUUUUGUUUUUCUGUGAAAGUAACUUGGCUACUUUAGGAAGUUCAUUUGGUAAUACUUUUCAAAUAUUACCCUAGUGGAUUAAGAUGAAGUGCUAUGUUCCAGAACAAUGAAUGUCUUGUCAGUCCAAGGAAGUAAUUUGCACUGGAUGAGAGUAGUCCAAAGUUUUAUUUUCUUUUUACAGUAGAAAGCUAAAAUAUAUUAGCAAUCCUGUUAGGUGGACUCAUUGCUACUUCAGUCUUUCAUUAUUCUAAAAAAAAAAAAAAAAUCACCUUUAUUUGUGCAUUUUUCAUGAGAACUUUUUACUGCAUUUAUGGAGGAUGUGAUCACACCUGAUAUAUAAUUUUACAUUUUCCAAAAGGAAGUGAGACUUCCUAUGCCAGACCGUUACAGUGGGAAGUUACCUUGGAGAUCAUGUAAGGCAACUUCCUCCAUCUACUAAUGAGAAGAUGGGAAUAGAGACCACAGUGAUUAGCAGUGGAUAAAAAGUCCACUAGUGGCCAGCUCUCCUAAAUCCUAAAGACUUUACUCCCUCAAUGAUUGGUGUUCAAUCUAUAAUACCUCUUAAAAUCUAUCCAGUUUAACAAAUAUCCGUUGAGGGCUGGCUGCCAAGUGCUGCGUGAAGUUCUCUGGAGGUGUAUAAACCUGGAUAACUCAUGAUUAAUGUUCAGAGAAGCUCACAGUUCAGAGAUGGAAUCAAUCAUACCAGAAGAUACUUGGAGUCCAAGCUGGAAAAUUCAAAUAGGAAGGAGAAAAAAGCAAGAGAGGAACUCCUGCAGGUGCUCUGAGCUAUGUAUUUCCAGGACGGCUUCAGUCUAUAGGAUUUGUGUAUCCCCUUAAGUAGUAUUUUCUCAAAUUUCCAUUCGCUAAAGUGUCAUUUCCUCCCCCUCCCCCAUCCAUGAUUUUACUGGUAAGGGUGAGGAAAUAACUGAUAAUAAAAUAUUCCCCUCUAGCCAAACACCUGCUCCUUACCUCCCAUGGAGGGGAAUCACAGCCUCUCUACUCUGUGCACUAAUUUUCCUUUCCUGCAUCAAGAUCCCUACCCCUGGCAUUGCUGGAUUUUGAGCUUCCUUAGUAUCAUUUCCCCUGUGACCUGAUGGCAGAUGCGGGGAACAGAAACCUCCUCCCUCCCCCCCCUCCUGCCCCCCAGGCUGCAUAAGGCCCUUUCUGAAUGCUUUAAAGACUCUGGGCCAGCCCUUUCCUCAGGUGCCACUCAGCUUUGCAAGUUCUAGUUCUCAAAGAUUUGCUUCAAAAUGAGGAUAGGGGCACCUGGGUCGUUCAGGCGGUUAAGUGUCUGCCUUUGGCUCGAGUCAUGACCCCAGGGUCCUGGGAUUGAGCCCCUCUCUGGAACUCCCUGAUCAGUAGGGGGUCUGCUUCUUCCCCUCACUCUACCUUUUACCUUUCCCCACCUGUGCUCACUCGAGCCCUCUCUCCAAUAAAGAAGUAAAAUCUCAAACAAACAACUAGAGGUUAUUUUAGUCACCUCAUACAGUACAAUUAUGCAGCUCUUGUCCUUUGGUGAUGGGUUUAUUUCUCCUAGUCAAACGUUCUCCAGGUUCAUCCAUGUUGUCGUCUAUAAAACAGUCAAACUCCUAGAAGUGGAGAGUAGAGUGAUGGUUGCCAGGGCCCGGGGAGAGGGGGAAAUGGGGAGUUGCUAUUCAAAGAGUACAGAGUUUUAGUUCUCCCAGACAAAUAAGUUCUAGAGAGCUUCUAUAUGCAGUUAACAAUACUCGAUUGUACACUUAAAAAUGUAUUGAGGGUACCCUCCAUGUUAAAUGUUCUUACCACAAAACCAAACCAAAGAGUGCGCUUUGGGAAUAUGGAAAGGAGUGUAUUUACCAUGCUAGCUUUGAUAUGAAUCCUCAAUUUUUAGAGGAGAAACUACCUGAUUAGACCUCCUCUCCUUUUCCAGCCCUUUACUUCCUUCUCCAAAUCCCCUUCUAUCCCACAGUGGUUUAUCAGGCAUCUGGACACGCUAAUACACAUGUGCAAUCUCACACACAUUGGUCAUACAACACACAUCAGCAUGUGUGUGCAUGCACGCACACUCACCCCUAACUCAGUUUCCCGUCUAGGCUGCACUAACCUGUGCAUAGGAAGCCCUGAGCAGAGCAGGAAUAAGAGAGGAGAUUAUACCAACUUCUCUUUGCCCUUUGCAAAGAAAACUUUCCGGAGACAGGCAUAAUAGAGUUUUUUGUUUUGUUUUGUUUUCUGUUUCUUUUGCGAAAUUUACUGCAAUUCCUGAUAAAACUAUUGUGUCUGCUAUCUGCCAAGGAUAUUGUAUUAUAGAACACUCUCUCUUGUGAUGGAUAGCAUACACUGCAGAGGCAGUUUUAUGAAAAAAAAAUUUUUGGAAAGAUAGAUUUUUAUUUUUCUUAUACACAGAAAUUUUAUACUGUAUAAAAGUCUUCAAAUGAAUAAUGUAUAUGUGUAUUAUUUAAGACAUACAGGUGCUAUCUGUAAAGUAAAACCGACAAGUCAGUUUUUAUGCUGACCAGCUGUGAAAUGUUGUUUUAGCUUUUCUCACACAAUUAUGCGCAUAUUACUUGGCUUUUAUGAGUUACCCAAGUUCUUUUUUUUUUGCUCUUUAUUUUCCGGAAAUCAUCUCAAAAUCAAACCUUACUGGAAACACAUGGAAAAUCAGGAAUUUCCAGCCUAAAGUAAUUUGAAACACUUGAGGUUUUUAUUUUUUCUUCAUGAUGGCAAAGUUAAGCAAAGAUUUCAAAUUCCUUAAUGAGUAGUAAUUGCAGUAGGUAGGACCUGUUGUUUCAUAGCAACAGUUAAUUGUUUGCUUUUUUAAGUUAAGGUUUCAUGGUAACAACACCUUCCUCAAGCUCUGGAAUAUCAGUCUUCCUGGACACUAUUCAGUCUCUCCAUGUUAAAUGCAUUUGCCUUAUUCUGGUCAGUAAAGUAAGACACUGACCUUAGGCUAAACAAAGUUGAUAAAUAAAUACCAAUUGGUUACUGCCUAACUUCCCCCACCCCCUUCCUUGGGGCAGGCAGGAAAUAGAAACAGGAACUGAGUAAUCAUAAGCUCACCUCCCACCCAUGAUGCUGGGGUCACUGCAAGUUGCCUUGGUGGUUUAAGAAAGAUACCCAGUAUCAUUUUGUAAUGACUGUCUCUGGACUAAUAUUUAUAUCUCUAACACAUACCUUUCCUAGUAAGGCACUAACAGAUGGAAGAGCAGAUGAUCCUCUAUCAAGAUAGGGGUUCAGAUAAAGGCAUUGAAGUUUUUACUUACCUUCUUUUACUUUGGAGGUGCUUCUCCUCCUAUACCCCUCUCUUGUCCCCAGAAUCAUUUUGGAAGCACUAAGCAAGAGUGCCACCAUUACUUACUGCCUGAAUGGAGAUGUGAUCCUAAGUUCCAGGGAGGACUCUUCUUCCAUGUCCAUCACCAUCAAUCCUCCUCCUUUAAAAAAAAAAAAAAAAAAAAAAAAAA
rnacentral:lncRNA from 1 species